UUAUUCUGUCUCAGGCAGAAACAGCCUUUAUUUAGCAAACUGCUGCUAACAGCUCUGUCUCAUUAGUCAGUGUUUAGGGAACCAGGCUGCAAUUGUUCUGAAGUCUGGCAUUGCAGAAAGAGCCUUGAUAAUGAGGUCUACAGGAGACGAUUCCUCCUGACAGGCCCACAAUGACCUAGAAAUCCUACUUAAUUCCCUGUCAGAGAAAAGUGCUGAGUAACAGCAGAGGUGCAGAGGCUCUGGGGGCCGAGGGAGCUGCAGCCUCUGUUCACACUUCAGAGCUCUGGGGUGGCAAAGCCAGCCCUGCUGAGCUGCAGCAGCUCCCCAGAGAAAGCUCGUGGGGCAGAUAGGUUGGGUUUGCCUUGGGAAGGUUUGUAGCCUCACCUGUGAAAGACCUGGCACCACGCAGAGGGCAGGGAGCAGAAGUCCCUGAUAACACAACAGCAGCAGGCACUCGGAAAAGCCUGGCACCAGGCAGGGCUCCUUGGAAGAGCCCUCAACAGCAGCACCUGGAUGUGGGCUUCUCAGGGCACUAGGCACUGCCUCCUCUGGAUCUGCCUGCAGACUGUGCCAAAACCCUGCCAGAGAACUCCCUGACUCAAGCAGCUCAACUUUCACCUCUGUCCCUAGGUCUGUCACCUCUGUCCCUAGGUCUGGCGUGUCCAGGAGCUCACCAGCUCCACCUGCACAGCCACCACUGCUGCCAGCACAGACUGUGGAGAGUCCUACUGUGGAAGAACAUCUCCUGCCACAUCCUGUAGCUGCACAAGGGCUGUCUCCUCUCCCGAGGACGUGGGAUGCUCAGUGUGAGUGCCCCGGAGGCGGCGGUGAAUUUUGGACACAUUCUGCCCCAACCCCUUGCCCUUGCAGGAACACACAGCAGGCUGGCACAGGCUUGGGCAGCACAAACACCACUUUCAAGUGGUUUCUGUCUAACAAUCAGCGCGUGUUCAUGGUCAGGAACCUCUGGGCUGGGUGGCCCAGAGCCAGCUGGGCCAGAGGAUGAGGUGGAGGGACCCAGCAGGAAUGUGGGCAGGAUACAGCUGACCUUGAAGACCACCCCCAACACAGACCCUUACAGGCAUGUGCUUGCCACCUGUUUCAGCCAGCAGACAGGGGACUAAAGCAGGAAUUCUGGAACUGAAUGCACAGUCUGUUCAGGAGUGAUCUGAAGACUCCCACCCCCGUGAAGCUGAUGGGUGCUGUCCCCCAGCCCCCUGCCCAGGAAUGCAUCUCACGUGUGAGACUGCAAAUGCAGCCCUGUUUAAAGCACGGCUCAAACCUGCCAAAAAAAAGGAAUGUGGGAAUGAAAUCACCAGCCGAAACAGUGUCUAGAGACAAGCCAAGCCAAGUCCCUCGAGUGUCAGCACCAGAAGGAGGGCUCAGAAAUGGAGAACCCAGCUCCCUCUGCACCAGCUCUGCUGGCACACACAGAGGAUCUGCCUCAGAGACAUGAGGGAAAGACAUAUGCUGAGAAGGGAAGGACCAGCUUUAUUUUCCCAGCCUGUGUUCCCACCAGAGAUGUGCUUUCAAGACUGCCUUGCAAAGUAGGAAUUAAAUCCAAAGGUGCCUAUGCAUCUUCCUUGCUGUCAUCCCCUUAUCAGAUAUCUACAGCCUGCUCUGAGCCAGAAGAUGAAAGGAUCAUAACACCACUUAUCUUCCCACUUAAGAACAUGCUUAACAGCUUGCUCCUAAAGAGGAGGACACUCAAGGCUGGGGAAGCAGCUGUAAAUUCUGCAAAUGGGCUUCCUUGCAUUUUUUUGAAGGAGCUACUGCUUCUCAACGAGGGACACAGACACCAAAAGGAAGCUGGAAAGAGGGAAGCCUUUGUAGGAAGGAUAAGACUUUGCCUCACGUCCAGAACUUGAAGCUGAGUGGCAGAUGUGAGAUGUAUGGCAUGUGUGCCUCAGAAGUGACCGAGCAUGAGCCAGGAAUUGAGAAGCUCUUGGGAAAUAUGUAAGCAGCCAGAAUUAUGACAUAUUUGUCACUCCAAAACCAUGCUCUCCUCGGGACUGUGCAGUGUCACAGCCAAGAAGGAGAUCCCCUCGCAUGCUGCAGGCACAACUGCUGCAUGCAACCCAGCUCCAGCUCUACACAUCGAGGCCAGGACCUCUCCCCCAGAGCACCGUGUCUGAAUCUGACCCUCAUCUCCCCUCUUUGUAGAGCUACUUGUAAUCACGGUGAACCUGGGUCCAGCUUGCCUUUGUCAUUUAAUAGCUGAGUCAAACUGUCAAAACAGCCAAACAGGAUCUGUUCCAAAUAUUUGCAGAGAGAGGAGGAUCAAGGAGCCUGCAGCAGAACACCAGGAGCCUGCCCAAGGGAGAAGGACAAUCCCUAUUGUGGACCAACAGCGGGAUGCUCGUGGCGACCAUGACGCCUUGGCACCGUGUGGGGAAAGAGCCCCCAAAUCCUCCCAUGCUCAUGCAGCACCACAAAUAAACUGGAAUCUGGAGUCCCCUCUGUCCCCUGGCAAGGCCCCAGUGCUCCAGCCCCUCAGACUGAUCAGCCCUGGUCAGAGCUCAGCUGUUGGCUUGGGGAACUCAAGGAGCAGUUGGCAACUGAGAAAGGGGGGUCCCCGGGUGCCUCAGAAGCUGCUGCCAGCCCCAGCACAGACUUCAAAGGGCUUAUCUUGCCCUGUGGUGUGGGAGAGCACGUGGUGCCCGUGGGUGAGGACAGCUGUGUGUUGGCCAGGCCCAACAGAGGAUUCCUGAUGGAAGAGGAGAGAUGUUAGUACCUGGUUUAACCUCCCCUCCAGCAUGCACGAGGCAGCUUUGGCAGCAGAGCUCCACGCUGCCCUGCUAUUUAUGGGAUGUUGAAAAGUGGCCAAAAUAAAGGGAAAACACCAGCUCCAUAAGGAUGCUUACCAACUCAAACAGCCAGUUCUGCUCGAGGGAGAGCCCAUGAGGCUCAGGAGGUGAUUACAAGGCACUCUGCCUUUCAUCUCCACAUCGCCAGUUCAAAGGCAACCCCAUCAACCCUGACCAGGCUGUAGCCAACUAAGAGCUGUUUGCUCCUGCACAAGACAGGAGAUAAGCCACUGCUCCCCGAGAAACCAGCCCAGCCCCAUCGAUGUGCAACCUCAGCAGAGCAGCCAAGGCCAAAGAGGGAGGGAAACCAGCACCUCCUCUGCUGCAGGAGCCUCUCCAUCAACGGGGAGAUCCAUGGUGGGUGAAGCCAACCUGCUUCAUGGCACGUGUGUCCAGUCCUGCCAGCAAAGCACAGAGCAGUCACUCCACCACAGGGUUAUGUUUUACUCCUCCCACCUUGGCUGUUGGUAUCUGAACACCUCAACAACCCACUCUUCCAAGGACCAGGGACUCCCACAGGCUGGGGAAGCCAGGGCUGGUCCAGAGGUCCAGAGCACAGAGCUGGGACUUCCCUUUCUAAGAUGCCCUCACUACUACAGAGAGGAUGUUUUCCAGGCUCUAAAAAUAACCAACCCCAAACAACGUGGUGGGUUUUGAAUAAAUAUUUAUCUUUGAGCUUCUGCAGAGAUCAAUACAGAAGAAUAAGAUUAAAGCAAAGAUUUAAAUGUGUAUUAAAAAUAGCUGCUGCUAAGUUCCUUCGAGGGGAUAAAAGCUAUUUCACAGAAGCAGCAAGAGCUGCAGGACUUUGCAACACCUUCCCUGCUGUGAAGGCUCCCGGAAAUCAUUCAGUAGAGUGUUAGCAGCCAGAGCCUUGGGAGGAAGUCCAUUAGCAGGCAACAAUCUCCUUAAUGGACCCUGGGGUCCGUGGAAGAGCUGCUGUGGACACUGGGGUUCUUUCCACUGCUGUGAUUCAAGCUCACUCAGCCAUUACCAUCCCACACUCCAAGGAAUGCUGCUCAUCUUUAUGGCAGCCCAGCAGCACCAUGAAUUAAUCUUCUGGGGAGCUUUCAGUGAGUGAGGACACAAAUUGGUACAGAGUUUUGGCUUUUUCUUUUAUUUUCUUUUUUGGCAGCACCCAGCAAACAGCCCCGUGUGCAGAAACCACACGUGCUGCUGUAAUGCAGGGAACAGCAGCAACAUCCAUUAAACCCGUGUUUUUUUCAAGGAUAACAUCCCAGCAAAACAGAAAUACUGUCUCCGUGGGUGCUUUUGGGCUGAAAGAUCAAGCAGAGCCUCGUACAUUCACAUGCAGACAAAAUCAUUAAGUCCUCUGCUGUGCAACCACCUCCACUCGAGGUCUCAGAGAACACCGGAGCCACCCCGGAGAGAUGAGAAGUGGCAGGAACCUUUCUGCUGGGAAUAAAAAGCAGGACUGCUGUGCUGAGCACUAUUUCUCUGUUAAAAGGUAAUGCCAGCCCAGUGUUGACUGGACUCCCAUUUGACAGCUCUCAGCAGUUUACAGGAAGCUGCUUGACCUCUAAAACGAGAAGCAAAAGCUUGUGAGGAGCUGAUUAUCCCUGAGACCAACAUUCUGGUGAAGUCCAUGGAGUGCUGUCCUGUUCCCCACAGAUGUAUUUUGACAAAGACUCUUGAGGACUCAGGAUCCUGUUGGCCUGUGGAAAUCUUUCCCCUUGCUAACUCCCUCCCACCACUUCAGGCUGGCUCAGUGAGGAGUUCACGAACCUUCUCCGGAUCAUCAGGGCUUGAUGCAAUCAACUGUGAAGCAUUAGCUCUAAAUAUACAACUGGGAGGCCAGUUCUGCUUCAACACACAAACACCCAUGGCAGAGGAUGAGAAAGCAGCCAGCCCAAUUUGCAAGAGAAACUUAAAUAAUAAUCCAAGCAAGCUGCAAGGAAAGCAGGAGCAAGUGGGGGCUAAUCAUUGCUUUGCUCUUUGGAGAUGACUAAAGCUAGGGGCAAACUGGCACAGCCCUCAAGUAGAGCAGCUUUUGCCCUUGUUUGUGGAGCCAAAUGUAGCGGCUCAUUCCACUUUGUUUACUUGUUUAGGUGAUUUUUUGGCAGCUCAACGCGUGUCCCUGGUGCAAAUCCUCAGUGUGAGGACAGAUAACUGAAAAACAGCUGCAGCAGGGCCAAGAGACCCAGAAUUCAACUUGUACAGUGAAAACAAACAGUAAAAGAACCCAAGUUCACGAGCAGAGCAACAUCUCAGUCCACAGCUCUUUCUCCUCAUUAAAGAAAACACAUUUUACUCUCUGAACCUGCUUCAACCAAGUAAUUGUCAGAAGUUUUCAGGGCAAGAGGGAAUGUGCUGGUGUCACGUUCUUUUGUCAACAGCUGUAAAGGAGAUGUGCAUCCAACUACUCUUUGGUGGCCAUGCCAGAUACUGCUUACCCAAAUAGGAACACCAAGCCCUUCCCAGGAAUUUUUUUGAAGAUGUUAUUAAGCAUCUGAUUUUGGCAGGGCUCUCAAAGCUAUUUGUCCCGAUUUUUUUUACUGCCUGUUGAAAAGAAAGCAAUACUGCGAAUACUUCCCAUCAGAAAAUACCAACAAGCAACUUAUCAUCACUGCAAGAGAGCUAACAACAUUUCCAGUGAGUGAUUCUUGGCACUGACAGCUGACUCGGAACAGUUGUUGGUGGCUGGGACAGAUGGACUUCAUAUAUUAAAAAAAAAUAAAAAAAAAAAUAAGAAGGAAAUGAGAACUUCUACUCCAUAGAUUUUAAAAAGCCUUUUGCAAAAUCCAACAUAUUACUGAACCCUCAGAAUUAAAUCGAAAGGAGAUUUGAACAUAAUGAGCUUUAAAACUGAAAUGUGCCCGGGACUUGCCAGAUCGCCCCAUCGAGGGCUAUAAAGUAUCAGCAUGUUUUGUUUUCAAUAGGAAAUACUUGGGGGUUUGGGGAAGGUCUCCACAGCCCGUGAAAAUCCUCAAAAUCCCAAUAUUUGUUUCCACAGGGAAGGUGGCAACAGGAGACCUCAAGGUAGGAGGCAGCACUGGUAUCAGCUGUGAGCCCCACUUUCCAUCGCUGCCUCCGAGAGCUUCCUCUGGUUUCAUUAUGACCAUGGCAUUUCCCUGAUGUGCAGAAUCUUUAGAUGCUUUUAGUGCCUAGAGCUGGGAAUGGACUGGAUGCUCCACGCUUCACUGGUUCCCAUUUUAUGGCAAUGUUUUAAGGCCACUAUCAAGAAGAGGGUUUGUUCUGGCAAUAACACACAGGAGGAGGCAACCCCAGCUCACAACACUUGGAGUCAAAGCAGCAGCUCAGAGUCUAGAGCAGGUCAGAGUUUGACAGCUUGGGAUCUCAGCAUCUUGUGAGCUUUGUCUGCUUCUGUUUAUGCCUUUUUUUUUUCCCCCACCAAGUAGCCAGUUGGCACAAACACAUCCUUGCAGUCACACUCCCAUCCCACUAUCCAGCACCAGCCCUGCAGUCUCCAGUACAUAUUUAAUUUUACACACUGCUGAGAGUGUAACCCUGACUUAAUGGGGCGCCCUCGGCACCUCAAGUCAAGUGUAGUGGAACACACUUUUUUAUUCUCAGCCUCACUUUUGCCCACUCUUUGGGACUUUUGAGCCCAAAUUUAAAAAUUACUGGAAAUCAGUAAAGGAUGAGGCACUUUGAUUUGGCCAUAACCCUUUGAAUUUGAUGGAAAGCAAAUCCUGUCACCACUUGGUUUACUCACCAGAUAAAUGUUUUCAGGCAGAGGUGUGAAACUAGUGGUGUUUGGCUGUUUUGCAGCAACUAUUGUCUCUCUAAAGAAAUGUAGAAAUAUCUGUAGUUUGUUUCCAGGAUUCAAGGAAAGUUUCUAGGCUGGAUUCAACAGGACACUUGAGCGUAACAGAGGAAGGAAACGGGGCACCUUUCUACCCUGCAGCUGUGAGGAAAAGCUGUGCCAAGUCUGUCGUUUUUCCCACUCAAAGGGAGAAGCUGAAUCCCGAGUCAGCACCUGGAGAGAACUGUGUGAUGCUCCGGGAUCAGGCACUCCCGACUUUUCCUGCUGAAACUGCUUCUGCUACAAACCACAGCAAAGCAAAUGAACACCAGACCCUGGGGCGCGUGACAACCAUCCCCUCACUGCAGAUGAGUGUCACAGUCAUCUCCUCACCCCUCCACCGACUGUUUUGGGGAAUAGUGCCCAAACCUCACUUUAUUUGAGGCCCAGAGAGGCUCUGUUUGGCGUCACUGGAGAAUUGUUUUUUGUCCUCAGAUAAACUGUUUGAAAUAUUUCAAUACACUUCAGCCUUGAGU